AGGAAUGUAUAGCGAAAGCUAGUUGCAUUUAACUUAGCGAAAGCUAAGUUGAUGCAGGAUUGACUAUGUCAAAUAAAGUUCUAGGUGGGUUAUGAUGAUGACAUUUCCUAUCUAUGUGUCUUGACCAAAUUACGUGCCAGCAGUCGCGGUAACACGUAAAAGACUAGUGUUAUUCAUCUUUAAUAGGUUUAAAGGGUACCUAGACGGUAAAUCAAGUCCAAGAAGGGUACUAAUUUUACUAGAGUUUAAUAUGAGGGGGCACUAAAGUACUGAUAAGUGUAGAGAUGAAAUUCUGUGAUACAAUAUACGGCACUGGUAAAGGCGAAAGCAUCUCAUUAUGUAAUAACUGACGUUGAGGGACGAAGGCUAGGUGUAGCAAAAAGGAUUAGAUACCCAAGUAGUCUUAGCAGAAAAUUAUGAAUGUCAUAGGAUGGAAAGUUGGAUGGACAAACAACAAAUUUUUUUUUCUAUAAAUGAAAGUGUAAGCAUUCCACCUCGAGAGUAAUUUGGCAACAUUGGAACUGAAAUCAUUAGACCGUUUCUGAACAAG
rnacentral:rRNA from 1 species